rnacentral:rRNA from 1 species
UACGAAGGGGGCUAGCGUUGCUCGGAAUCACUGGGCGUAAAGCGCACGUAGGCGGAUCGUUAAGUCGGAGGUGAAAUCCUGGAGCUCAACUCCAGAACUGCCUUCGAUACUGGCGAUCUUGGAGUCCGGGAGAGGUGAGUGGAACUCCGAGUGUAGAGGUGAAAUUCGUAGAUAUUCGGAAGAACACCAGUGGCGAAGGCGGCUCACUGGCCCGGUACUGACGCUGAGGUGCGAAAGCGUGGCGAGCGAACAGG